CUUAGUAAACAUCGUCAUAUGUAUAUUCGUAGUUGAAUCAAUGUUAACUUUACGAAGCGUUUAAUGUAAGCUAGCUCGACCGUCAAGUCCACCGCGUGUCGUCCCGAGAAGAGCGUCAGUGUAAAGAUAUCCGUGUUUCAGCAAACAGCGUGCGCAACGAUAAUGUUCAGUUUUCAGGGCAACUCGUGAAUUAUUUGUUGGCGGUGGAACGAGUCACUGUUAAUGGCGGACAUCAUCGUGGCUGUCUCACUGUGCUCUUAACGCAGCGUUAAGAGUGAAUGUAACGAGGAAUAAUUGAACCACAUGAUGGAGAACUGCUCGGCCACAGCGUUUUGUUUGUAUGUAUGUAUAUAUCUAAUUUAUUAUUUGGUGAUAUUUACUGGAAAUGACAUCCAUUCUAACCAAUAGCAAGUUAGAAACUAAGCUCCCUACAGACAAUUUAUAUAGGAUAAGCAUUUCUAAUCAUAUUUGUCUGAAAUCUUUCAUUGAACUGAUGGCUUUUUAGCCGCAGUUUGACUAAUUGCUUUAGAUGUUUCUUUUGUAGGCUUUGAGAAACCUGGCAAUGAAUUUUUGAGUUGUUGACAAAUACACCAGGAGAUUGUCAAGACCCAAGGGGGAGAAGUGUCUGACAGAAACAAGUCCCACCUGGGAGUACAGAUGUGAGGUGAACAGCAGUCUUCCGUGGCCCUCCCUUCAUCCUUGGAGAUGACAAUGCAGACUUUAGUUGAAAUUAUGUAAUCUUUUGGUGUUUGCUACUUCUCUACCUUUUGAUGGAAUGUUAUGUAUUUCCAGUUGCCCCAUUCAAAACAAAGAAUAGCACAUGAUGGUAGAGGGGUUUUGACUAAUAUUAUCUCUGUGUGCAAUAUCCUUGCUCUACUGCUACAGGAGGUGCUUGGUCAGCCUCCUGUGGUAGUAGUGACAAAAAUGUGGAUGUUUACUCUGUAUUAGGCUUUUUCUUUAUUGAAGGUCUAAGCUUUGACUUGCAUAAUAAUAAAUUGUGUUGUUAUUAGGACCCUGACCUUCUGGAUGUGUUCCACUGCCAUUGGGACAUCCUCACCUCCCUUAAUCUUUGGGCUUUCAUAUUCUGACUAAUCUUGAGGUUUUUUUUUGCACUUAGGGGUUUAGAUUUCAGCAGCUGAAGGGGUGUGUGUAUAGCCCACCCCCCCGGUUUUUAUGUCAUAAAAACCUAAGUGCGACUUUGCUGCACCUUAUUGUUGUGCGUCACCUCUUGACACCAUGUUUGCAUUUAUGAUUGUAGUGUAAAAUACAAAUCUCUUCAUA